AGAACGAACGCUGGCGGCAAGCCUAACACAUGCAAGUCGAACGGUCAAUUAUUUAUAGCCUCUGGCUAUAGGAAAUUGUUAGUGGCAGACGGGUGAGUAAUGCGUAGGAAUCUACCUAGUAGUACGGAAUAGCCAUUAGAAAUGGUGGGUAAUACUGUAUAAUCCCCGAGGGGGAAAGAUUUAUCGCUAUUAGAUGAGCCUACGUUAGAUUAGCUAGUUGGUGAGGUAAUGGCUUACCAAGGCUAUGAUCUAUAGCUGGUCUGAGAGGACGAUCAGCCACACUGGAACUGAGAUACGGUCCAGACUCCUACGGGAGGCAGCAGUGGGGAAUAUUGGACAAUGGGCGAAAGCCUGAUCCAGCUAUGCCGCGUGAGUGAAGAAGGCCUUC
rnacentral:rRNA from 1 species